AGGACGAACGCUGGCGGCGUGCUUAACACAUGCAAGUCGAGCGGAAAGGCCCUUCGGGGUACUCGAGCGGCGAACGGGUGAGUAACACGUGAGUAAUCUGCCCCUAGCUCUGGGAUAGCUCCGGGAAACCGGGAUUAAUACCAGAUACGACCACUUUAGACAUCUGCUGUGGUGGAAAGAAUUUCGGCUAGGGAUGAGCUCGCGGCCUAUCAGCUUGUUGGUGAGGUAACGGCUCACCAAGGCGACGACGGGUAGCCGGCCUGAGAGGGCGACCGGCCACACUGGGACUGAGACACGGCCCAGACUCCUACGGGAGGCAGCAGUGGGGAAUAUUGCGCAAUGGGCGAAAGCCUGACGCAGCGACGCCGCGUGGGGGAUGAAGGCCUUCGGGUUGUAAACCCCUUUCAGCAGGGACGAAGCGAAAGUGACGGUACCUGCAGAAGAAGCGCCGGCUAACUACGUGCCAGCGAGCCGC
rnacentral:rRNA from 1 species